AUGCUUCAGCAGCAGGUCUACCCAAAUUACAGUAAUACAGAGAUUAACAUGGCACUUACACAAGGAUGAUAUGAAAAUUUGUGAAGUAUUCCAUAUUUUU
ensembl:snRNA U6 U6 spliceosomal RNA